CCCUUAGAUGUUCUGGGCUGCACGCGCGCUACACUGAUGCGCUCAACGAGUUUUAACCUUGCCUGGAAAGGUUGGGUAAUCCUUUUAAAACGCAUCGUGAUGGGGAUAGAUUAUUGCAAUUAUUAAUCUUCAACGAGGAAUUCCUAGUAAGCGCGAGUCAUCAGCUCGUGCUGAUUACGUCCCUGCCCUUUGUACACACCGCCCGUCGUUCCUACCGAUUGAGUGAUCCGGUGAAUAAUUCGGACUGCGGCAUUGACCGGUUCCCGAUCGUUGCUGCGGAAAGUUUAGUGAACCUUAUCACUUAGAGGAAGGAGAAGUCGUAACA
rnacentral:rRNA from 1 species